rnacentral:rRNA from 1 species
AUGCUUGAUGAGAACAACAUCCUCGCGAAAUCUUUCAGAAUGGCAAGAGAUAGAUUCAAAGAAGAAGACUACCAUGAUUACACACUUCGGAUACUUGGGAAAAGGAACAGAACACACAACCUUCCAUUUGCAUCGGAAGUUGCAGCAUUGGUUGUAAGAGAUACAACUGGAGAGAGCAAAGGACGAGACAUCGUUGUCGAGUACAAAAAUAUGGAACCUCACAGAAUAUCAGAAAUCCAUCCAAAAUUCAUGUCGAUGCAAUACCCAAUGUUGUUUCCAUACGGAGAAGACGGCUUCAAGCUUGAAAUACCUUACAAGCGAAGAAAAGAAGGUGAAAAAAGCAGCAAAUAUGUAACUAUGCUGGACUACUAUGCAUACUACCUACAGCAAAGACCUGACCAAGGAAUGUCACUGCUAACGUCUAGACAUCUAUCGCUGCAAUUUUGGGUAGAUGUUUACACAUGCAUUGAGCAAAACAGACUAAACUGGAUCAGGAAUAAUCAAGGGAAGUUAAGAACUGAACUUUAUAGUGGACUGCAAGACGUGAUUGAGCGAGGGGACACCAGAACAGAGCAGGUUGGAAAGAGGAAAAUUGUACCUUCAUCUUUUACAGGAGGCAGAAGAUACAAGGCACAGAACUUGCAAGACGCUUUUGCAAUAUGCCGUUGGGCUGGAUAUCCAGACCUGUUUAUAACAUUCACAUGCAAUGCAAAGUGGCCUGAGAUCCAAUACAUGCUAGAUGAAGCAGGAGGAGGCCUAAAUCCAGCCGACCGGCAAGAUAUUGUUGAUCGAGUAUUCAUGAUAAAACUGAAGGAGUUGAUGAGGGACAUGGUUGUGAAGAAACACUUUGGAGAAACGAUAUUAUCUAUGCGAUAG